UACGUAGGUGGCAAGCGUUGUCCGGAUUUAUUGGGUUUAAAGGGUGCGUAGGCGGCUUUGUAAGUCAGUGGUGAAAUAUGGCAGCUCAACUGUCAGGGUGCCAUUGAUACUGCGGAGCUUGAGUACAGAUGAGGUAGGCGGAAUUGACGGUGCAGCGGUGAAAUGCUUAGAUAUCGUCAAGAACACCGAUAGCGAAGGCAGCUUACUGGGCUGUAAACUGACGCUUGAGGCACGAAAAGUGUGGGGGAUCAAA
rnacentral:rRNA from 1 species